rnacentral:rRNA from 1 species
GGAGGGCGCAAGCGUUGUCCGGAAUCACUGGGCGUAAAGCGCGCGUAGGCGGCCAGGGUCAGUCAUUUGUGAAAUCCCGGGAGCUCAACUCCGGGCGUGCAGGUGAUACUGCUUGGCUAGAGCAUGGUAGAGGCAAGUGGAAUUCCCGGUGUAGCGGUGGAAUGCGUAGAUAUCGGGAAGAACACCAGUGGCGAAGGCGGCUUGCUGGGCCAUUGCUGACGCUGAGGCGCGAAAGCGUGGGGAGCAAACAGGAUUAGAUACCCUGGUAGUCCACGCCGUAAACGAUGGGUACUAGGCGUCGGGGGGAGCGACCCCUUCGGUGCCGCCGCUAACGCAGUAAGUACCCCGCCUGGGAAGUACGGCCGCAAGGCUG